rnacentral:rRNA from 1 species
CCGGUACUCGUUAAGGCUGAGCUGUGAUGGGGAGAAGACAUUGUGUCUUCGAGUCGUUGAUUUCACACUGCCGAGAAAAGCCUCUAGAUAGAAAACAGGUGCCCGUACCGCAAACCGACACAGGUAGUCAAGAUGAGAAUUCUAAGGUGAGCGAGCGAACUCUCGUUAAGGAACUCGGCAAAAUGACCCCGUAACUUCGGGAGAAGGGGUGCUCUUUAGGGUUAACGCCCAGAAGAGCCGCAGUGAAUAGGCCCAAGCGACUGUUUAUCAAAAACACAGGUCUCUGCUAAACCGUAAGGUGAUGUAUAGGGGCUGACGCCUGCCCGGUGCUGGAAGGUUAAGAGGAGUGGUUAGCUUCUGCGAAGCUACGAAUCGAAGCCCCAGUAAACGGCGGCCGUAACUAUAACGGUCCUAAGGUAGCGAAAUUCCUUGUCGGGUAAGUUCCGACCCGCACGAAAGGCGUAACGAUUUGGGCACUGUCUCAACGAGAGACUCGGUGAAAUCAUAGUACCUGUGAAGAUGCAGGUUACCCGCGACAGGACGGAAAGACCCCGUGGAGCUUUACUGUAGCCUGAUAUUGAAAUUCGGCACAGCUUGUACAGGAUAGGUAGGAGCCUUUGAAACGUGAGCGCUAGCUUACGUGGAGGCGCUGGUGGGAUACUACCCUAGCUGUGUUGGCUUUCUAACCCGCACCACUUAUCGUGGUGGGAGACAGUGUCAGGCGGGCAGUUUGACUGGGGCGGUCGCCUCCUAAAAGGUAACGGAGGCGCUCAAAGGUUCCCUCAGAAUGGUUGGAAAUCAUUCAUAGAGUGUAAAGGCAUAAGGGAGCUUGACUGCGAGACCUACAAGUCGAGCAGGGUCGAAAGACGGACUUAGUGAUCCGGUGGUUCCGCAUGGAAGGGCCAUCGCUCAACGGAUAAAAGCUACCCCGGGGAUAACAGGCUUAUCUCCCCCAAGAGUUCACAUCGACGGGGAGGUUUGGCACCUCGAUGUCGGCUCAUCGCAUCCUGGGGCUGUAGUCGGUCCCAAGGGUUGGGCUGUUCGCCCAUUAAAGCGGUACGCGAGCUGGGUUCAGAACGUCGUGAGACAGUUCGGUCCCUAUCCGUCGUGGGCGUAGGAAAUUUGAGAGGAGCUGUCCUUAGUACGAGAGGACCGGGAUGGACAUACCUCUGGUGUACCAGUUGUCGUGCCAACGGCAUAGCUGGGUAGCUAUGUGUGGACGGGAUAAGUGCUGAAAGCAUCUAAGCAUGAAGCCCCCCUCAAGAUGAGAUUUCCCAACUUCGGUUAUAAGAUCCCUCAAAGAUGAUGAGGUUAAUAGGUUCGAGGUGGAAGCAUGGUGACAUGUGGAGCUGACGAAUACUAAUCGAUCGAAGACUUAAUC